CAGUAUUUACUUGUUGUGGUGAUAUGAAAUGAAUAUGUGUAUCAAUUCCACCAGCAGUAACUAUAAGUCCUUCUGCUGAAAUUGCUUCUGUAGAUGCACCAACUAUCAUAUUUUCAUUUACACCAUCCAUAAUAUCUGGAUUUCCUGAUUUUCCUAUUCCAACUAUAUUCCCAUUUUUUAUUCCUAUAUCAGCUUUAAAUAUUCCUGUACUAUCAACUAUAAGUGCAUUUGUUAUAACUAAAUCUAGUGCCCCUUCUUCACUAUUAAUAUGAACACAUUGGCCCAUACCAUCUCUUAA
rfam:Paeniclostridium sordellii ATCC 9714 gcs9714.contig.99, whole genome shotgun sequence.